CACUCCUGCGGGAGGCAGCAGUGGGGAAUUUUGGACAAUGGGGGCAACCCUGAUCCAGCAAUGCCGCGUGAGUGAAGAAGGCCUUCGGGUUGUAAAGCUCUUUUGUCAGGGAAGAAACGGUGGUGGCGAAUAACUACUACUAAUGACGGUACCUGAAGAAUAAGCACCGGCUAACUACGUGCCAGCAGCCGCGGUAAUACGUAGGGUGCAAGCGUUAAUCGGAAUUACUGGGCGUAAAGCGUGCGCAGGCGGUUGUGUAAGUCAGAUGUGAAAUCCCCGGGCUCAACCUGGGAAUUGCAUUUGAGACUGCACGGCUAGAGUGUGUCAGAGGGGGGUAGAAUUCCACGUGUAGCAGUGAAAUGCGUAGAUAUGUGGAGGAAUACCGAUGGCGAAGGCAGCCCCCUGGGAUAACACUGACGCUCAUGCACGAAAGCGUGGGGAGCAAACAGGAUUAGAAACCCCAGUAGUCCCAUGAU
rnacentral:rRNA from 1 species